AACUCAUUCACCACGCAACUCCGCGCACGUUUCUCCACGGUCACACAAAGCGCAUGUGUCUGGGGGCACACAGUACUUACUGGAGGGUCACAGUGAACACACAGUGAACACACAGACACAUUGGAUGUCAGCGGAAAAUCGCAAGGUUUACACGCCAACCCGCAUUAAUAGAUUCCCACGACGUGUUAAAGGGCCUGUCCCACUCGGGCGUCAUUUGCGCGUCACGCUUAGAGUUUGGCUCAGCCACCAAGCUGGAGUCAUCUGGAGGCUGCAGCGAAUCGUCCGAUCAACAGAGAAGAUUAUUGGCUGCAACCAUCCCUCCAUUGAUGAACUGUGCACUGCAAGGGCCAGGAAGCGAGCGGGCAAGAUCAUCUCUGACCCCUCUCACCCUGGCCACAAACUCUUUGAAUCACUUCCCUCUGGAAGGCGACUCCGGACUGUCAAAGCUGCCACAGCCAGACAUCAAAACAUUUAUUAUCCACUAGUCCUUGCUCUACUCAACAGCCAAAAAUCUGUAGCCUCCCUUUGAUCUGGUAUUUUGUUGGUUCACAUGCUUGAUCAAUGGUGUUUUAUCAUUAAUGUCUUAUUAUUAUUAAUGUUUAGUGUUUUCUGAGUCAUUCGUAACUGUCACUGUAUGUCAUGUUGUUACUUGUGGGCAGAGCACCAAGGCAAAUUCCUUGUAUGUGAAUACUUGGCCAAUAAACGUACUUACUUCCU